AGCGAACGCUGGCGGCAGGCUUAACACAUGCAAGUCGAACGCUCGUAGCAAUACGGGAGUGGCAGACGGGUGAGUAACGCGGGGGAAUAUGCCUGUUGGUUCGGAAUAACUCAGGGAAACUUGAGCUAAUACUGGAUAAGACCGCGAGGGGAAAGAUUUAUCGCCAAAAGAUUAGCCCGCGUCCGAUUAGCUAGUUGGUGAGGUAAUGGCUCACCAAGGCGACGAUCGGGAGCUGGUCUGAGAGGAUGAUCAGCCACAUGGGGACUGAGACACGGCCCAAACUCCUAAGGGAGGCAGCAGUGGGGAAUAUUGGACAAUGGGCGCAAGCCUGAUCCAGCCAUGCCGCGUGAGUGAUGAAGGCCUUAGGGUUGUAAAGCUCUUUUGUCCGGGAAGAUAAUGACGGUACCGGAAGAAUAAGCCCCGGCUAACUUCGUGCCAGCAGCCGCCGUAA
rnacentral:rRNA from 1 species